rnacentral:rRNA from 1 species
UUGAAAGGGAAACGAUUGAAGUCAGUCGUACCUGCGGGUAAUCAGCCUUUUGGGCAUGAUUCUGUGGAGCGUGAGGAGUUAAACGCCUUCAUGCCUGCAUAUUCGUGUACAUUGGGUGUACUUGCCUGUGUGGUUAGUUAACAUCAAUUUUGGUUAUCAUAAAAUGGUUGGAGGAAUGUAGCUUCGAUUUCGGUUGAAGUGUUAUAGCCUUCGGCAGAUGUGAUGAUCGGGAUUGAGGAUUGCAACGGAUACCCUUCGGGGCUACCUGUCUGGUCUCUGAUCGUUGCUUUGGUGCCGAAAGCGUGCUUACGGUUAUCAAAGUCGAUGGUCAAUAGGUUAGAACGUGAUUACAUUCGUUAAGGAUGUUGACGUA